rfam:Apaloderma vittatum contig65430, whole genome shotgun sequence.
GAUCCGGUUAGCUCAGUGGUUUGAGCGCGGUGCUGGCAACAACGACCAACACCGAGGUCGCGGGUUCGAUUCCUGCUCGGUCCC